AGACCCGAAACCCGGUGAUCUAGCCAUGGGCAGGUUGAAGGUUGGGUAACACUAACUGGAGGACCGAACCGACUAAUGUUGAAAAAUUAGCGGAUGACCUGUGGCUGGGGGUGAAAGGCCAAUCAAACCGGGAGAUAGCUGGUUCUCCCCGAAAGCUAUUUAGGUAGCGCCUCGUGAAUUCAUCUCCGGGGGUAGAGCACUGUUUCGGCUAGGGGGCCAUCCCGGCUUACCAACCCGAUGCAAACUGCGAAUACCGGAGAAUGUUAUCACGGGAGACACACGGCGGGUGCUAACGUCCGUCGUGAAGAGGGAAACAACCCAGACCGCCAGCUAAGGUCCCAAAGUCAUGGUUAAGUGGGAAACGAUGUGGGAAGGCCCAGACAGCCAGGAUGUUGGCUUAGAAGCAGCCAUCAUUUAAAGAAAGCGUAAUAGCUCACUGGUCGAGUCGGCCUGCGCGGAAGAUGUAACGGGGCUAAACCAUGCACCGAAGCUGCGGCAGCGACACUGUGUGUUGUUGGGUAGGGGAGCGUUCUGUAAGCCUGUGAAGGUGUGUCGUGAGGCAUGCUGGAGGUAUCAGAAGUGCGAAUGCUGACAUAAGUAACGAUAAAGCGGGUGAAAAGCCCGCUCGCCGGAAGACCAAGGGUUCCUGUCCAACGUUAAUCGGGGCAGGGUGAGUCGACCCCUAAGGCGAGGCCGAAAGGCGUAGUCGAUGGGAAACGGGUUAAUAUUCCCGUACUUGGUGUUACUGCGAAGGGGGGACGGAGAAGGCUAUGUUGGCCGGGCGACGGUUGUCCCGGUUUAAGCGUGUAGGUGUGUGUUCCAGGUAAAUCCGGUUCACUUUAACACUGAGGCGUGACGACGAGGCACUACGGUGCUGAAGCAACAAAUGCCCUGCUUCCAGGAAAAGCCUCUAAGCAUCAGGUAACAUCAAAUCGUACCCCAAACCGACACAGGUGGUCAGGUAGAGAAUACCAAGGCGCUUGAGAGAACUCGGGUGAAGGAACUAGGCAAAAUGGUGCCGUAACUUCGGGAGAAGGCACGCUGACACGUAGGUGAAGUGAUUUACUCAUGGAGCUGAAGUCAGUCGAAGAUACCAGCUGGCUGCAACUGUUUAUUAAAAACACAGCACUGUGCAAACACGAAAGUGGACGUAUACGGUGUGACGCCUGCCCGGUGCCGGAAGGUUAAUUGAUGGGGUCAGCGCAAGCGAAGCUCCUGAUCGAAGCCCCGGUAAACGGCGGCCGUAACUAUAACGGUCCUAAGGUAGCGAAAUUCCUUGUCGGGUAAGUUCCGACCUGCACGAAUGGCGUAAUGAUGGCCAGGCUGUCUCCACCCGAGACUCAGUGAAAUUGAACUCGCUGUGAAGAUGCAGUGUACCCGCGGCAAGACGGAAAGACCCCGUGAACCUUUACUAUAGCUUGACACUGAACAUUGAGCCUUGAUGUGUAGGAUAGGUGGGAGGCUUUGAAGUGUGGACGCCAGUCUGCAUGGAGCCGACCUUGAAAUACCACCCUUUAAUGUUUGAUGUUCUAACGUGGACCCGUUACCCGGGUUGCGGACAGUGUCUGGUGGGUAGUUUGACUGGGGCGGUCUCCUCCUAAAGAGUAACGGAGGAGCACGAAGGUUGGCUAAUCCUGGUCGGACAUCAGGAGG
rnacentral:rRNA from 1 species